CAGUUAUUAGGGUAUAUAAAUACCUCAAAACCUCCCACACAACAUUCAUUCAAAAAUACACAGACACCACUUCUUACUCUAAAUUUUCCCUCCUCUGCUCAUUACUCUCCUAUUAUGCUAGUUUAAGGGUCCCUUGAUCUUACAGGCAGGGACGAUAGAGAAAUCAAACCAAAUCUUUUUCAACCAUGAAAGUCCAACAUUCAAGCCCAAACAUCUCAGUCCAUUUGCAGCCGUGGAAAGCCCAAGAUCCAUUUUGAAGUUUCAGUGACUCAUCGGUACAAGAUGCUAUUUUUCUGACAUGAUUUUAUUGGUUAUCAGUUUAAUGAGAUUCAAUGUAGUGAGCAAGCAGUUUAUAUGGAAAUUGGUUAGAUAAAAAGUCCUGUUUCCAUGAUGAGGUGGUGACAUGGAUUUUCACUGCCUUAUGUCGUUAGAAAUUCUAUUUUUCUCAUUACAUUCUGCUUGAUGAACAUACUUUGCGUGCAGCCAUGUCUGGCUUUCCAAAUUUCUGGCGAAUUCUCUCUCUGGACGUUAACACAAGCUAGCUAAAUGGAAUCCGAAACUGCUGCACAGCUUACUUUGCCGAGUUUACAGAUGUUGGAUUUGCUGGCCUAUCAAGGUCAUUAAACUCCGCUCAUUAAACAAAACGUUCUGCAAUCUUGCUUCUCGUUGAUAUUGAACUUCCCUACUCCAUGCUUGUGCCCCAUCUGACCAUGUUCGGGCCCCGACUUGCAUUUACCUUUAUGAGCAGAGGAACACUUUCUUAGUGAAAGUGAUGUUCAUGAUGAGAGAGUUGAAGAUGAGUUUUAACGACUCAUUAACUAUUAUGUGCAUAAAUCUGCUAAAACCUUGUUUACCAUGAUGCCUGCGAAAAAAAAAGGAUCAGCAAGCUACAUUGAUCCCCUUUACCAAUAUGAUUGCCUAUAAUGACAUUUUUUUCCUACAUAUCAUAACGUCGUUACAGAUUUCUUUGUUGUUGUAGUGAAUAUUAUAUGUUUACAAGGAAAAUGUGAUGGAAUGAUUAACCCUAAUUUAGAUAGUGAAUAUAAAUAGACAUUCUAUAUUAUGUUUGGUUUCCAACAUCCUUGCAACUUCCCUUUCUUGACCUUCGGACUCAAACUUUUUUUUUACGAAUGGAUAAAUUUGAUUUAUAAAGGACAAAAACAAGAGCCAAGCACAGCUACAAAGCAGAAUAAGAGGAAGGGAACAAGCCGACUACAAGCUACAGGCAACUGUAGUUCUGGAUUACUGCAAAUAGAAUGAUAGCUAAGAGUUUUCAAUUGCAUAUGUACAGAUCAAUAUGUUGCUUUCUACAUCUGAGAUUCUUGUCCACUGACAGCUUCCAUCCAUGCUCUAUUUAGUGAGUUUGCAGUUAUGUUGGACUUCUGGCCUAUCCAGAUCAUUUGAUUCUGCUCUUCAAGCAAAAGGUUCUCCAAUCUCACUUCUCGAUUUAUGUUGGACUUCUUAAUAUGUGCCCAUCUGAGCCAGUCAGUCUCCCAAGCUGUAUUAAUUUGUGAGCAGAGGAAAACAUGAGGGUGAAGUAAAAAAGAUCAUGAUCACAGAGUUGAAGAUCAGCAAAUCAGGACUUACUGCUAUGGCUGUGCCGAGCAGAGGUUAAACUAUAACCACACAUUUGGAUAAACAGCUCCAGAAUUUGUGAUGACAGUUAUGACUCUGUGGACUGAAGAUUCACAUCCAGAAUACAAGGCUUUACCAUCAGGGUGGGUAUUGAAUGCAUGGUAUGCUGGGGAGAUGGCAGAGUAUAUGUCACAGGAGUAUCUAGUAUAAUCUGCUAUAACCUUGUAAGAAAGGAGGCCAACGUUGCUACAUAUUCUGCAAAAUGAACUGGAUCAACCAACUUCUUUGAGUCCCUUGAUGUAUGUUAGUCUGUACGGAUCAGAAGUCAAUAC